rnacentral:rRNA from 1 species
UACAGAGGGGGCAAGCGUUAUUCGGAAUUAUUGGGCGUAAAGGGCGCGUAGGCGGCUUUGCAAGUGACGGGUGAAAUCCCUCGGCUUAACCGAGGAACUGCCUGUCAAACUGCAUGGCUUGAGACCGGGAGAGGUGAGGUGGAAUUCCCAGUGUAGCGGUGAAAUGCGUAGAUAUUGGGAGGAACACCAGUGGCGAAGGGCGGACUC